CCCUUAGAUGUUCUGGGCCGCACGCGCGCUACACUGAUUCAUGCAACAAGUUUUGUCCUUGGCUGAUAGGCUUGGGUAAUCUUUGAACGUGAAUCGUGAUGGGGAUAGAUGAUUGCAAUUAUUCAUCUUCAACGAGGAAUUCCUAGUAAACGCAAGUCAUCAGCUUGCAUUGAUUACGUCCCUGCCCUUUGUACACACCGCCCGUCGCACCUACCGAUUGAAUGGUCCGGUGAAAUCUUCGGAUCUGAGAGAUGUCUGAUUAAUUUCGGACGCCUUUUGGAAAAGUUGUUUAAACCUUACCAUUUAGAGGAAGGUGAAGUCGUAACA
rnacentral:rRNA from 1 species